AUUCUUUUCACUUUCUUCUUCGUGUCCAGCUUAUAAAAUUGCUGCACUACCGCUCGAUCAACAGUUUAAUGGCGGAUAGGUGUUGACCGAAGGAGGAGGGACGGAGGGGUCAACCCUGCCUCCUCUUUUCCGGGCUGAGAGACCCCUUCCCCACGUUGAAGAACGAUACAAACGCAGGCCAAUAAUUUAGCGUGUCAGUCGCUGCCACCUCCUCUCUCUCUCUCUCCAUCAAUCAAUCAAGUCAUAGCAAACGAGGAAGAAGGAGAAAAUUAACCCUGGGAAACAGCACCGGUGAGGUGGAGUUGCAGAGCACAAGAACACAUUCCUUUCUCCAAGUGAGGCCUCAUCCCCUCACUCCCUUUACAGGGAGAAAUAUACACAGCAAGGGUAAAAGAAACCUCUGAUCUAUGAUCUCUCUCUCUCAAAAUGUACAAGUUUCCUCUCAGAUCCUUCCUCGCUGCUUGUGGGUGGGAUUGACAGAAAGAAGGACACAAACAGGGGAACCUCAUGGGUAGUCUCGCCAGCAGAUGAGCAU